rnacentral:rRNA from 1 species
GACGAACGCUGGCGGCGUGCUUAACACAUGCAAGUCGAACGGAAAGGCCCUGCUUUUGUGGGGUGCUCGAGUGGCGAACGGGUGAGUAACACGUGAGUAACCUGCCCUUGACUUUGGGAUAACUUCAGGAAACUGGGGCUAAUACCGGAUAGGAGCUCCUGCUGCAUGGUGGGGGUUGGAAAGUUUCGGCGGUUGGGGAUGGACUCGCGGCUUAUCAGCUUGUUGGUGGGGUAGUGGCUUACCAAGGCUUUGACGGGUAGCCGGCCUGAGAGGGGGACCGGCCACAUUGCGACUGAGAUACGGCCCAGACUCCUACGGGACGCAGCAGUGGGGAAUAUUGCACAAUGGGCGGAAGCCUGAUGCAGCGACGCCGCGUGCGGGAUGACGGCCUUCGGGUUGUAAACCGCUGUCUCCUGUGACGAAGCGUGAGUGACGGUAAUGGGUAAAGAAGCAACGGCUAACUACGUG